CACUGAGGUGUGUCCAUGCAUGUAUACACUGCAUAAUGAUCAAAUGGGGUAACUCCCAUAUCCAUCACUUUAAACAUCAUUUACUUGUGGUGACAAUAU